rnacentral:rRNA from 1 species
UACGGGGGGGGCAAGCGUUGUUCGGAAUUACUGGGCGUAAGGGGCUCGUAGGCGGCCAACUAAGUCAUACGUGAAAUCCCUCGGCUUAACCGGGGAACUGCGUCUGAUACUGGAUGGCUUGAGUUCGGGAGAGGGAUGCGGAAUUCCAGGUGUAGCGGUGAAAUUCGUAGAUAUUAGGAAGAACACCAGUGGCGAAGGCGGCUCACUGGCCCGGUACUGACGCUGAGGCGCGAAAGCGUGGGGAGCAAACAGG